GCCGCCGGUGGGCCACUGCCGGGCAGUCUCUCCGAGGUCCGGCAGCUUCUUCACUCACGAGGUAUCGGGGUUCAAGACGUGGCUAUUGCGCAAGAUCCGGAGGGCAUGGAGAGUAUUUUAUUAUUAUUUUUUUAAUAUUUACUUAAACGUUGAACUCGUGUACGGACUUUUAUUAGAGCAAACAUCUAUAUUGACUAUUACUAUUUUUGUUCA